rnacentral:rRNA from 1 species
CCUACGGGAUGCUGCAGUGGGGAAUAUUGGACAAUGGGCGAAAGCCUGAUCCAGCCAUGCCGCGUGUGUGAAGAAGGCCUUCGGGUUGUAAAGCACUUUCAGUGGGGAAGAAAGCCUUGGGGCUAAUACCCUCGAGGAAGGACAUCACCCACAGAAGAAGCACCGGCUAACUCCGUGCCAGCAGCCGCGGUAAUACGGAGGGUGCGAGCGUUAAUCGGAAUUACUGGGCGUAAAGCGCGCGUAGGCGGUCUGAUAAGCCGGUUGUGAAAGCCCCGGGCUCAACCUGGGAACGGCAUCCGGAACUGUCAGGCUAGAGUGCAGGAGAGGAAGGUAGAAUUCCCGGUGUAGCGGUGAAAUGCGUAGAGAUCGGGAGGAAUACCAGUGGCGAAGGCGGCCUUCUGGACUGACACUGACGCUGAGGUGCGAAAGCGUGGGUAGCAAACAGGAUUAGAUACCCCAGUAGUC